AUAUGUAAAUUACUGAAUGACAAAAGAGGAGUAGUGUUUCUGCUAACCUAACCUAAGAAAAUCUAGUACCUAAGGCUUGGUCACGGAAAAGGGAGCCGUUACAAAGACCCACACAAUACCAGGGCAAAAACAGGAUAGGGUGGGGGGAGAAGAGUGGGCCGUAAAUAAAUGUGUAAACUACUGAAUGACAAAAGAGGAGUAGUGUUUCUGCUCACCUAACCUAAGAAAAUCUAGUACCUAAGGCUUGGUCACGGAAAAGGGAGCCGUUAGAAAGACCCAAACAAUACCAGGGGAGGAGAGGAAGGAGUGGAACUUAAGUAAAUGUGUAAGCUAAUGAAAGACUGAAGAGAAGUAGUGUUUUUGCUAACCUAAGCUAAGAACAUCUAGUACCUAAGGCUUACUCACGUUAAAGGGCGCCGUUACUAAGACCCACACAAUGCACGGCCAAGAAAAGGAGUGGAGCUUAAAUACAUGUGUAAAUUAAUGGAUGACUGAAGAGAAGCAGCAUUAGUGUGUUUCUACUUCCAUAAUAGUCUAAGGAGAUGUUUGUUGACUUCCACUAAUUUACCUCACUGUUCCGAAAGGGUUCAGAGUUACUUCACCUUUCUCUGGGGUUACGGAGCGAUGUAGUUGAGGUCACGAGAGGAGAAUGUCACUAGAGCUAAGACCAAGACCACCAGCAGAAGGAACAUAGUUGAGGUUGCAAGAGAAGAACCGUCACCACCGUCAAGACCACCAGCAGAAGGACUAUAGUUGAGGUUACGAGAGGAGAACCGUCACCACCGCCAAGAUCAAGACCACCAGCAGAAGGAAUAUAGUAGAGGUUACGAGAAGAGAACCGUCACCACCGCCGAGACCAAGCCCACCACCCCCAUCAGGAGCCAGAGGAGGGCGUCGCCGUGAAAGACAUGGGUAGUGAGAUGUACGAUUAUUGCAACAUCUCACUAUCUUGUCUUUCACGGGGUCGCGGCCUCCACUAGUCACCAGUCAAGACACCCAACCUCCAGCCAGUCAGUCAGUCAGUCAGUCACAGUCAGUAAGUUAGUGGGUUGGUCAGAUUGUUAGUCAGUUCGCCCGUCUGUUAGUCAUUCAGUUAGUCAAUCCGUCGGUGUCUUUGUUAGAUCGUUAGUUAGUCAGAUGGUCAGGUUGUUAGUUAGGCAGUCAGUUUCAUAAUACUUUCGUCCGUGCGUCGGUCAAUCAGUUAGUCCGUGUGUUUGUUUGUUAGUCUGAAAGUUAGUUAGGCAGUGAGUUUCUCAGUUCGUUCGUCUCGCCGUUAGUCAGUCAAUCAGUUAGUAAGUUUUUGUGAUGGUUAGUUAGUCAGCCAGUCAGUCAGUUAGGUAGGUAGGCAGUAGGGUGUUAGGCAAUCCAUUCGUCUGCCCGUUAGUCAUUGUUAUCCAGUCUUCCUUUGUUAAUUUGUCAAGAAAAUAGUUAAAUAAGUCAGUCAGUCAGUCAGAUAUUCAGCCAGUCAAUUUAGCAAGUCAGGUAGUUUGUCAGGUAUACUCAGUCAAUCAUUCCCUCCGUCAGUCAAAACUCCGCUAAUCUACCAGUCAUGAGAGGCAGGAGUCACCCUCAUCCUCCCCCAUCCGUUAGGAGUCACCCAGGCAACAGUUGAUUAAAGACCUACCAAUCAGUUGGUCACUCACGCCGCCGUUCACGCCCUUCCUCUUCCUCCUCCUCCUCCUCCUCCAGCAGCCAAUGUACGAAAAUAGCCCCGGAAAUGUAUAUGUAACUCAGUAAACUUUCUGUGGCUAUGAAAGUAAAGAUAAGGAGGAAGAGAAGAGAGUACGGAGGUAAAGUUAAUCUAGGGAGACAAGGGAAAAAAAUAGGUAUGUACUUACGUUAACUUUCAGUGGUUAUGAAGGUAACGUGGAAGAAGGAAAAUAGGAGGAGGAGGAGGAGGAAUAGAGAAGAGUACACUAAGAAACGCAAAAGGGAGAGAGAAGGGAAAUAAUAAUUGAACGAUAAAGGAAGCAAAGUUAUAGAAAGAAUAGAAGAAGAAGAAAGGGUAGGGAAAGAGAGGCAAGCAAAAGAGAAAAUAAGAAAAAAAGUUGUGAACGAUUAAGGAAGCAAAGUUAAAAAGGAAGAGGAGGAAGAGUAAGAAAAGAGAGUACCGAAAGAAACACAAGGAAAAGAGAGAGAAUAGGAAAAAAAAUGUAAACGGUGAAGGAAGCAAAGUAAAAAAAAAGAAUAGAAAGAGGAGGAGGAAGAAAAGAGAGUACCGAAAGAAACGCAAACAAAAGAGAGAAUAGGGAAAAAAAUUGUGAACGGUGAAGGAAGCAAAGUAAAAAAAUAAAAAAAAAAGUAGGAAGUGGAGGGAAAAAAGUUGUGAACGAUGAAGGAAGCAAAGUUUAAAAAGAGAACGGGAACUUUGAAGUAGGAGGUGUAGCCUGUUGAAAGAAGAGCGAGGGUAUAGAGCAAAAGGAGGGAAGAAAACACAGAACUUGGCUAAAGAAGAACGGCGUGAGGAGGAGGGGGGGUGGGGGGGGGAGAGAGAGAGAGGCGCUUGGUAAAGAAAGAAACGGCAGGCAAACUUAGAAGUAGAGGAAAGUUUGUUAAAGAAUAGGAGCAUAAAGGAACGGGUAUAGACGGAAGAGGAAAGGAAAGAAGAGAGCAGGUGACAGGGGAUGAGAAAACAAACAAUUGAUAAAAGGGAAUCAGAUCGAGAGAAAAUAACCUGCAAGGAAAAUGAUUAAAUAUAGCAAUAAGCAUGUGCAUUAAAGAGGCAAGAUAUAAGAGAGAAAUAUAGACUUUUGUAAGGGGAAUAAUAAGUGAUUAGUGAAGAGGCAGAAAGUAAAGUAAAGCGUUGUAAGGGUAAUAUAACAGAAGCAAGAGGCAGAAAGUAUGAAUAGAACUUUGUAAGGAAAAUAAUGACAUAGAAGUAAACAAUCGCAAGAUGUAUAAAGUAAGAGAAAUAGAACUUUGUAAGGAAAAUAAUGACAUAGAAGUAAACAAUCACAAGAUGUAUAAAGUAAGAGAAAUAGAACUUUGUAAGGAAAAUAAUGACAUAGAAGUAAGCAAUCACAAGAUCUAUAAAGUAAGAGAAAUAGAACUUUGUAAGGUAAAUAAUGACAUGGAAGUUAGCAAUCACAAGAUGUAUAAAGUAAGAGAAAUAGAACUUUGUAAGGAAAACAAGAUUAAAAAAAAAAGGCAGAAAGUAAUGAGACACCAAAUUUUGAAAGGAAAUCAACAACAUAGAAAUCAGCAUUUAGAGUAAAGAGGUAGAAAGAAGCAAAAAAAAAAUAGGAAAGAAAAAAAACUUGCCAAAGGAAAAAAAAAAGAAAGAAAGAA